UACAGAGGGCGCGAGCGUUGUCCGGAAUCACUGGGCGUAAAGGGCGCGUAGGCGGGCUGUCAAGUCUGGGGUGAAAUCCCGCGGCUCAACCGUGGAACUGCCUCAGAUACUGACGGUCUCGAGGGAGGUAGGGGCGAGCGGAACUGAUGGUGGAGCGGUGAAAUGCGUUGAUAUCAUCAGGAACUCCGGUGGCGAAGGCGGCUCGC
rnacentral:rRNA from 1 species